GCCGGGGUACCCUAGCCAGGCAAGGGGCCGGACUCGAGAUCCGGUGGCCCUCACGGGCCUCGUGGGUUCGAAUCCCACCCCCGGCGCCA
rnacentral:tRNA from 1 species